CGCGCCCGUCUGGACCUCUAUGGCAAGCAGGUUUGAGGAGAAGUGAAGAACCGUUCGGACAGGGUGAGGCUGUCCUAAGGGGACCCGUGCACAGCGACCGCGACCUCGCAGUCUUCCCGCCAGUUCGUCCCGAGCUCUCCCCUCCGCCUACUGCUGACAGAAAGCCCACUCUGCGGCCAUGAAGUCAGCGAAAAGUAAAACUCCUAGAAAGCCACUUUUCAAGAAAGGAUCCCAAGCAAGUCUUAAAGAUCCAGUUGGGGUAUACUGCAGGGUUCGCCCACUGAGCUUUCAAGAUCAGGAGAGCUGCAUUGAAGUGAUCAAUGACACUACAGUUCAGCUUCAUACUCCUGAAGGAUACAGAAUAAACAGAAAUGGAGACUAUAAAGAGACGCAGUAUUCCUUUAAACAAGUAUUUGGCACUCUUACAACACAGAAGGAACUCUUUGAUGUUGUUGCUAACCCUUUAGUAGAUGACCUUGUUCAUGGCAAAAAUGGUCUGCUUUUUACCUACGGUGUUACAGGAAGUGGAAAAACCCACACAAUGACUGGUUCUCCUGGUGAUGGAGGGCUACUUCCUCGUUGUUUGAACAUGAUUUUUAAUAGCAUUGGAGCAUUUCAAGCUAAGCGUUUUGUUUUUAAAUCCAAUGAUAGAAAUAGUAUGGAUAUUCAGUGUGAAGUUGAUGCCUUGUUAGAACGGCAGAAAAGAGAGGCCCUGCCCAUUCCAAAGACUCCUUCCAACAAACGGCAGAUUGAUCCAGAGUUUGCAGAUAUGAUAAAUGUGCAAGAAUUUUGCAAAGCAGAAGAAAUUGAUGAAGACAGUGUCUAUGGUGUAUUUGUCUCUUAUAUUGAAAUUUAUAAUAACUACAUAUAUGAUUUAUUAGAGGAAGUACCAUUUGAUCCUAUAAAACCAAAGUGGAACAGUUGCAACACUCCUGUGCGGAACACAGAUUUUAUACCUCCACAAUCUAAAAUGCUGCGUGAAGACAAGAAUCAUAACAUGUAUGUUGCAGGGUGCACAGAAGUAGAAGUAAAAUCUACUGAAGAAGCUUUUGAAGUUUUCUGGAGAGGUCAGAAGAAGAGACGCAUAGCUAAUACUCAGUUGAAUCGUGAAUCCAGUAGGUCACAUAGUGUGUUCAUCAUUAAACUAGCUCAGGCUCCAUUGGAUGCAGAUGGCGAUAAUGUAUUGCAGGAAAAAGAACAAAUCACCUUAAGCCAGUUGUCAUUAGUUGAUCUUGCUGGAAGUGAAAGAACCAAUAGGACAAAAGCAGAAGGCAACAGACUCCGUGAGGCUGGUAAUAUUAAUCAGUCACUAAUGACACUAAGAACAUGCAUGGAAGUCCUUCGAGAAAACCAAAUGUAUGGGACCAACAAGAUGGUUCCAUAUCGAGACUCAAAAUUAACCCAUCUGUUCAAGAACUAUUUUGAUGGGGAAGGCAAAGUGCGUAUGAUCGUGUGUGUGAACCCAAAGGCUGAAGAUUAUGAGGAAAGCUUGCAAGUGAUGCGAUUUGCAGAAAUGACCCAAGAAGUUGAAGUAGCAAGACCAGUAGACAAGGUGAUAUGUGGUUUAACUCCAGGCCGACGGUACAGAAAUCAAGCCUUUAGGGAGGAGCUUACACGUCGACUUGAACUUCGAGGGGGUCCAGUUGGUGAUGAACAAUCAGUUACAGAGCUACUUCUGCAGAGUUUUCCACCUUUACCAUCAUGUGAAAUUCUAGAUGUCAAUGAUGAACAAACACUUCCAAGAUUGAUUGAAGUAUUAGAGAAACGCCAUCAUGUUCGACAAAUGAUGACAGAAGAAUUUAAUAAACAAGUGGUUGCGUUUAGAGCUAUGCUGCAAGAAUUUGAUAAUGCGGUUUUAAAUAAGGACAAUUAUAUUCAUGGAAAACUAAGUGAAAAGGAAAAAGUGAUCUCAGGACAGAAAGCAGAAAUAGAACGACUGGAAAAGAAAACUAAAACUUUGGAAUAUAAGAUUGAAAUUUUAGAGAAAACUACUACAAUCUAUGAGGAAGAUAAGCGCAAUCUACAACAGGAACUUGAAAGCCAGAACCAAAAACUUCAGCGCCAAUUUUCUGACAAACGCAGACUGGAAGCAAGGCUGCAAGGCAUGGUGACAGAGACUACCAUGAAGUGGGAAAAAGAAUGUGAACGUCGUGUGGCUGCCAAACAGCUAGAGAUGCAGAAUAAACUCUGGGUCAAAGAUGAGAAACUGAAGCAACUUAAGGCUAUUGUUACCGAACCAAAGAAUGAUAAACCAGAGAGACCAUCACGGGAACGAGAUCGAGAAAAAGUUUCUCAAAGAUCAGUUUCUCCAUCUCCAAUACCUCUUUCUACUAAUUAUAUUGCUCAGAUUUCCAACGGCCAGCAACUCAUGAGCCAACCACAACUCCAUAGGCGCUCUAAUUCUUGCAGCAGUAUUUCUGUAGCUUCCUGUGUUUCGGAAUGGGAGCAGAAAAUUCCUCCGUACAACACACCUCAAAAUGUCACAUCUCUCGCAAGGCGUAGGCAACAGGAGCCAGGACAAAAUAAAAAUUGUAUCGUAUCAGACAGAAGGCGAGGGAUAUACUGGCCUGGAGGCAGGGAGGUGGUUCCCUCAUAUAGAAAUGAGAUAGCAAUAGAAGAGGAGCAGUGCUGCAGGAAUGCACCACCAAUUCGUAUCCGACACAGACGAUCACGCUCUGCAGGGGACAGAUGGGUAGAUCAUAAGCCUGCCUCUAAUGUGCAAACUGAAACAGUCAUGCAGCCACAUGUCCCCCAUGCCAUCACAGUAGCUGUUGCAAAUGAAAAGGCACUAGCUAAGUGUGAGAAGUACAUGCUGACCCACCAGGAACUAGCCUCCGAUGGGGAGAUUGAAACUAAACUAAUUAAGGGUGAUGUUUUUAAAACAAGAGGUGGUGGGCAAUCUGUCCAAUUCACAGAUAUUGAGACUUUAAAGCAAGAAUCCCCAACUGGCCGGAAACGAAGAUCUUCCAACACUGCCCCAGCUCAAGAAGUUGUGACAGAGCCUGAAUGGACAGAUGUAGAAACUCGGUGUUCUGUAGCUGUGGAAAUGAGAGCAGGAUCUCAACUUGGACCUGGAUAUCAGCAUCAUGCACAACCCAAGAUUUAUUGAAAGAAUAGAAAUAUGCAAGAAUAGAAAUGCUUUCGUUUAUGUGGGACACCCUGCAUAGUAUGUGAUUGCGCAGAAAGCCAUGAGUUGAGCUUCCCUUGUGAUAAAGGAUUUUUUUCAUGUUAUUGAUUUCUUUUGAAUCAAACAGCUGUAUUAUUUUGUUAAAAAAAUUUUUUUUAUUGCUUUAAAAUUUCAUACCUCAUAGCUGUUGACUAUGUUAUACACUGGCAAAGAGCAACACAUCCCCCCUCAGCCCCAAAGACAUCUAUUGUUCAAAUUCUUCAUACACUUUGCUAUUCUUAUGAAUUUAGAAAAAGUACUCUUUUCCUUGUUUGUAUAUUGACUUUUGAUUAUGCUAUUUUGUGUAUAUUUUGUGUAUACUCUUAUAGAUAAUCAUGCAAGGCUUUGCCUUGGGGAAAGAGGGUGGUGUAUUUGGUUCAUGUGUUCUUUUACAGAGUGACUUUUUUUCCAUCUUGGGUCUCAUGAUUUUUAGAUUGAAAAUAAAACACAUGCUGCUAUUUAUUUAGCUAUAAAAAUGCACUUUAGACAUGUUUUGCUAACAGUUCAGACUUUCAUAAUAAAGUGAAUUCAGUGAUUGUCUCAUCAGAAUUCAUAUUAGAAAGUGAAUUGUGUUGAAUUUCAAAUCCUAUAUACACAUGUUUUCUGGCGUCUGAGUAUGGCAAAUGACUUACAAUAAAAAGCACUAAAAAUAUGAAGUUUAUAAUAUGAAAUGCAUAUUUUGUUUUAUGUUGCAACUGUAUUAUAAGAAAUUAGAAAAAAAUGUUGGGUGAGUAUUAUAAGUGGACUACUCAUUAAUAAUAAUAAACAUGUCUUUGUGAACAAUUUGCAAAAUAUAACUUGCAAACACAUUUUAAAUA